CCUACGGGAGGCAGCAGUGGGGAAUAUUGGGCAAUGGGCGCAAGCCUGACCCAGCAACGCCGCGGGAAGGAAGAAGGCUUUCGGGUUGUAAACUUCUUUUCUCAGGGACGAAGAAAGUGACGGUACCUGAGGAAUAAGCCACGGCUAACUACGUGCCAGCAGCCGCGGUAAUACGUAGGUGGCAAGCGUUAUCCGGAUUUACUGGGUGUAAAGGGCGUGUAGGCGGGACGGCAAGUCAGACGUGAAAACCACGGGCUCAACCUGUGGACUGCAUUUGAAACUGUAGUUCUUGAGUACUGGAGAGGUAGACGGAAUUCCUAGUGUAGCGGUGAAAUGCGUAGAUAUUAGGAGGAACACCAGUGGCGAAGGCGGUCUUCUGGACCGCAACUGACGCUGAGGCGCGAAAGCGUGGGGAGCAAACAGGAUUAGAUACCCUUGUAGUC
rnacentral:rRNA from 1 species